rnacentral:rRNA from 1 species
AUAAAGUGGGCAACGUGCCCGGUUGUGGGGGAUAACAUCGAGAAAUUGGUGCUAAUACCGCAUGUGUUCUUUUCCUUCAUGGGAAAAGAAGAAAGGUGCUCGGACUUCGGUUCGGGUGUCGCGACCGGAUCGGCUCACUCCCCAUUAGCUUGUUGGUAGGGUGAUGGCCUACCAAGGCAACGAUGGGUAGCUGGCCUGAGAGGGUGGUCAGCCGCACUGGGACUGAGAUACGGCCCAG